GAUGAACGCUAGCUAUAGGCUUAACACAUGCAAGUCGAGGGGAAACGGCAUUAUGUGCUUGCACAUUUUGGACGUCGACCGGCGCACGGGUGAGUAUCGCGUAUCCAACCUGCCCUUUACUUGGGGAUACCCCGUUGAAAGACGGCCUAAUACCCGAUGUAGUUCAUUGAUGGCAUCAGAUAUGAAUAAAAGAUUUAUCGGUAAAGGAUGGGGAUGCGUCUGAUUAGCUUGUUGGUGAGGUAAAGGCUCACCAAGGCGACGAUCAGUAGGGGUUCUGAGAGGAAGGUCCCCCACAUUGGAACUGAGACACGGUCCAAACUCCUACGGGAGGCAGCAGUGAGGAAUAUUGGUCAAUGGGCGCAAGCCUGAACCAGCCAAGUAGCGUGCAGGAAGACGGCCCUAUGGGUUGUAAACUGCUUUUAUACGAGAAUAAUUUGAUGCACGUGUGCGUUAUUGCAUGUAUCGUAUGAAUAAGGACCGGCUAAUUCCGUGCCAGCAGCCGCGGUAAUACGGAAGGUCCAGGCGUUAUCCGGAUUUAUUGGGUUUAAAGGGAGUGUAGGCGGUUUGUUAAGCGUGUUGUGAAAUUUAGGUGCUCAACAUUUAACUUGCAGCGCGAACUGUCAGACUUGAGUACACGCAACGUAUGCGGAAUUCAUGGUGUAGCGGUGAAAUGCUUAGAUAUCAUGAAGAACUCCGAUUGCGAAGGCAGCAUACGGGAGUGUAACUGACGCUUAAGCUCGAAGAUGCGGGUAUCGAACAGG
rnacentral:rRNA from 1 species